rnacentral:rRNA from 1 species
GACGAACGCUGGCGGCGUGCUUAACACAUGCAAGUCGAACGGAAAGGCCCUGCUUUUGUGGGGUGCUCGAGUGGCGAACGGGUGAGUAACACGUGAGUAACCUGCCCUUGACUUUGGGAUAACUUCAGGAAACUGGGGCUAAUACCGGAUAGGAGCUCCUGCUGCAUGGUGGGGGUUGGAAAGUUUCGGCGGUUGGGGAUGGACUCGCGGCUUAUCAGCUUGUUGGUGGGGUAGUGGCUUACCAAGGGUUUGACGGGUAGCCGGCCUGAGAGGGUGACCGGCCACAUUGGGACUGAGAUACGGCCCAGACUCCUACGGGAGGCAGCAGUGGGGAAUAUUGCACAAUGGGCGGAAGCCUGAUGCAGAAACGCCGCGUGCGGGAUGACGGCCUUCGGGUUGUAAACCGCUUUCGCCUGUGACGAAGCGUGAGUGACGGUAAUGGGUAAAGAAGCACCGGCUAACUACGUG